UACGUAGGGUCCGAGCGUUGUCCGGAAUUACUGGGCGUAAAGAGCUCGUAGGUGGUUUGUCGCGUUGUUCGUGAAAACUCACAGCUCAACUGUGGGCGUGCGGGCGAUACGGGCAGACUAGAGUACUGCAGGGGAGACUGGAAUUCCUGGUGUAGCAGUGAAAUGCGUAGAUAUCAGGAGGAACACCGAUGGCGAAGGCAGGUCUCUGGGCUGACACUGACGCUCAUGCACGAAAGCGUGGGGAGCAAACAGG
rnacentral:rRNA from 1 species